AAAUUGAAGAGUUUGAUCAUGGCUCAGAUUGAACGCUGGCGGCAGGCCUAACACAUGCAAGUCGAACGGUAGCACAGAGAGCUUGCUCUCGGGUGACGAGUGGCGGACGGGUGAGUAAUGUCUGGGAAACUGCCUGAUGGAGGGGGAUAACUACUGGAAACGGUAGCUAAUACCGCAUAACGUCGCAAGACCAAAGAGGGGGACCUUCGGGCCUCUUGCCAUCAGAUGUGCCCAGAUGGGAUUAGCUAGUAGGUGGGGUAACGGCUCACCUAGGCGACGAUCCCUAGCUGGUCUGAGAGGAUGACCAGCCACACUGGAACUGAGACACGGUCCAGACUCCUACGGGAGGCAGCAGUGGGGAAUAUUGCACAAUGGGCGCAAGCCUGAUGCAGCCAUGCCGCGUGUAUGAAGAAGGCCUUCGGGUUGUAAAGUACUUUCAGCGGGGAGGAAGGUGUUGCGGUUAAUAACCGCAGCAAUUGACGUUACCCGCAGAAGAAGCACCGGCUAACUCCGUGCCAGCAGCCGCGGUAAUACGGAGGGUGCAAGCGUUAAUCGGAAUUACUGGGCGUAAAGCGCACGCAGGCGGUCUGUCAAGUCGGAUGUGAAAUCCCCGGGCUCAACCUGGGAACUGCAUUCGAAACUGGCAGGCUAGAGUCUUGUAGAGGGGGGUAGAAUUCCAGGUGUAGCGGUGAAAUGCGUAGAGAUCUGGAGGAAUACCGGUGGCGAAGGCGGCCCCCUGGACAAAGACUGACGCUCAGGUGCGAAAGCGUGGGGAGCAAACAGGAUUAGAUACCCUGGUAGUCCACGCCGUAAACGAUGUCGACUUGGAGGUUGUGCCCUUGAGGCGUGGCUUCCGGAGCUAACGCGUUAAGUCGACCGCCUGGGGAGUACGGCCGCAAGGUUAAAACUCAAAUGAAUUGACGGGGGCCCGCACAAGCGGUGGAGCAUGUGGUUUAAUUCGAUGCAACGCGAAGAACCUUACCUACUCUUGACAUCCAGAGAACUUUCCAGAGAUGGAUUGGUGCCUUCGGGAACUCUGAGACAGGUGCUGCAUGGCUGUCGUCAGCUCGUGUUGUGAAAUGUUGGGUUAAGUCCGCAACGAGCGCAACCCUUAUCCUUUGUUGCCAGCGGUCCGGCCGGGAACUCAAAGGAGACUGCCAGUGAUAAACUGGAGGAAGGUGGGGAUGACGUCAAGUCAUCAUGGCCCUUACGAGUAGGGCUACACACGUGCUACAAUGGCGCAUACAAAGAGAAGCGAACUCGCGAGAGCAAGCGGACCUCAUAAAGUGCGUCGUAGUCCGGAUUGGAGUCUGCAACUCGACUCCAUGAAGUCGGAAUCGCUAGUAAUCGUAGAUCAGAAUGCUACGGUGAAUACGUUCCCGGGCCUUGUACACACCGCCCGUCACACCAUGGGAGUGGGUUGCAAAAGAAGUAGGUAGCUUAACCUUCGGGAGGGCGCUUACCACUUUGUGAUUCAUGACUGGGGUGAAGUCGUAACAAGGUAACCGUAGGGGAACCUGCGGUUGGAUCACCUCCUUACCUUAAAGAA
rnacentral:rRNA from 1 species